rnacentral:lncRNA from 10 species
UGCCAGCUCAUUGGUAGCAGCUGAGGCUGCAGCAAUUGAUAAGAAACAAUCCCUGCUCUUAUGCUCACAUUCUAGUAGGGAAAGACAGAUAGGUAUACAAAUUAUUGUAAUACAGGAUAACAGAAAUAUAUGUGUGGUGCUGUACUAGCAGAGUUUUGUAAAGUUUAUUUGCUGUCCUGAGGCCAGUAGAAAAGAAAGGGGAGGAAGGUAUUCUGGUUCAGAAGGGCUAAGGGACCUGAUUGGCUGAGGCAGGAGAAUCGCUUGAAUCCGGGAGGCAGAGGUUGCAGUGAGUUGGGAUUGUGCCACUGCAGUCCAACUUGGGCGACAGAGUGAGACUCUGUCUAGGA